AAUGAACGCUGGCGGCGUGCUUAACACAUGCAAGUCGAACGAGAACGGAAUCCUUCGGGGUUCUCAGUAAAGUGGCGCACGGGUGAGUAACGCGUGGGUAAUCUACCCUUGAGUCUGGAAUAACGUCUCGAAAGAGGCGCUAAUACGGGAUAAGACCACAGGGACUUCGGUUCUAGGGGUAAAAGGUGCUUUCGGGCAUCGCUUGGGGAUGAGCCUGCGUGACAUUAGAUUGAUGGUGGGGUAAUGGCUCACCAUAUUGUCUACGAUGUCUAGCUGGUCUGAGAGGAUGAUCAGCCACACUGGGACUGGAACACGGCCCAGACUCCUACGGGAGGCAGCAGUGAGGAAUUUUGCGCAAUGGGGGCAACCCUGACGCAGCAACGCCGCGUGAGUGAUGAAGGCCUUUUGGUUGUAAAGCUCUGUCGCCUGGAAAGAAACCUUGGGGUAGGAAAUGACUUCAAGUUGACGGUACCAGGAAAGGAAGGACCGGCUAACUCCGUGCCAGCAGCCGCAGUAAAAC
rnacentral:rRNA from 1 species